UGAGGCCUUUUUAUGUGUGCUAUCUACACCCACGAAUGUUUUCUAAAAAAGUGACUUUAGCUAUAGAAAAAUGGAUCGGUAUUACGCUAUAAAGGGCGAUAAUGAAAAAAGAUCAGUGGUGCAGCAGGAAGGCUGAAUUCUCACCACUGUCCGUCAUCCCCCUCCUUGACCAGCUGCACCAUGUCUCCGCUCUUCACUGAGAGCUCUUGAGCCCCCUUCUCAUAGUCAGCCAUCACUGUAUAUUUUCCGGCACACUGUUCAAAGUCCAGAUAAGGAAACAGAAAAGGAUACAUACUCAAAUUUGAAAAUUAGGUCAAGUUAAGUCAAAUUUAUCGAGAAUUACAUUAACAUGUAUGAUAGUUCUGUGCUAUGAAAGGACAAACCAAUCAGAUUUUGUCUGCACAAUGUGAUGAAUACAAGUGCAGGCAGGUUGACACCUGUCUGUAAGACAAAAUGACUCACCAGCUUCUUGCCGUUGUCGUCCUCUGGGUCAGAGUUAAGAGGAUCCUCAGCACUGGAAUAGCCGUCAUGCUCCUCUGAGGCAUCCAGCGACAGGGAGGCCUUGUUCCAGCCUGAGGACGGACGGACGGACACACACACACACACACACACACACACACACACACACACACACACACACAGGUGUUUAGUUUACAGCUACAUUCAUCUUCAGCUGCUAUCAAACAUGUGUGACCUGCAGUGAGAUAUCUACAAAGAGUGAAAAAGUGAGAGGAAGAACCACAAAAAGCUCUUUUGAACAGAGAAGGAAGCACAGCUAAUCCCAUGAAUCCCAGCAUGACACAAUCAGUUCCACAACUAUUACCAAAAAACUUUGAGACUUGGGAGACAGGCAUGCACCUUUAUAUUUUAAAAUCUCUGACUCAAACAGAAAAAGUGUCAGGCAGAAAUUCUUCCAUAUCAGUGUUUAUUUCUAUGAUUUUUUAAUUAAGCCUGAAAGCAGUGUGGCGAUGUGUGACAGCAAAGCAAAAACUGAAAAAGGCUAUAGACUUUAGGUUUAUCGCAGUGAAACAGUGGGCCCAACACAGUGUACCUCUCCACUUUGUCUGUAAGAGACUAGGGGUGCUGAACCACCUGGCCCUGCUCAGGUGGAGAGGGGGAGGACCUGCAUCUGAGGGACAGGAGGCAAUAGACACACAGCUAAUCACUCACCCUGCAGCAGCUACAGCCAAUGAAACGUAUCAUUGUUAGAGACUUAGGCUGUGCUCAGGCAUCAUGGAUGAACAAGCAAUCAGACAGGGAGAGUACGCAGUUAUUGUUGAACAGACUAGCUACCUUUGAAGCCGAAUGGCGUGGGGUCACUCUGGCGUUUCGUCUUGUGAUCGGGGCUCGUGGGAGAUCCUGCCGUCAAAAAAAAAAAGAAAAAGGAGGGACAAGGAUGGUUGUUGAGGCAAGAAAGAAAUCAAGACCAAAAUAUUGACAUUCAAAAGGAAAUUUUUGAUGAAAAAAGUGCUUUCGUUAUAUGGUGAACUGCAAAUGUUCAGCUCUGAGUACAAUGACACAGACGUACGGUGAACUAAUUCUAAGAAGGAGAGCACCUGCAAAAUGCACCUCAAAGUUCAGCAACAUAGGCCUUCUUCGGAGAAGAUAUUUUGACAUGUCAAAGCCGGGAAAGCCCAGGGGCAACUAAUAAAAUGAAUGGUGGCUGAAUUCCAUUUAGAUGCUUCAGUUUCAGUGUCCUGGUAUUUCGCAUGCUGUCUUACUGUCACACUGUAAUGGCUUACUGGGGCACGUUAAAACAACAGAAUCCUUGUUAAUGUUUUUAGUAACACCUUUGCUUUUCCCACUAUGACAAGUCAAAGCUGAGAAAGAGGCAUUGUGCUGGAUUGAAUGAAACCAGGGUCUAGAGCUGUGUGAUACCUGAUGACAGGAAGAUCAUCAUGAAUGGUAAUGUAAAACUUUUAUCAUCAGUGGUUGAGGGCUCUGUGAAGGGAAGCAUGCAGUAUUUGACCUACUGAUGAAAUGUCUUUGAAGUAUAUUACAUAUUUGUUCAUGUUGUCCUUCAGAGACUUAGGUUAACCUACUUGUCUUAAGUUAGAUGAGAAGAUAGAUACCACUCUUAUGUCUGUACAGUAAAAAUUAAGCUACUGCUAGCAGCUGUUAGCUUAGCUUAGCAUAAAGACUGGAAACAGGCUCUGUCAAAAAUCUGCAUACCAGCACAGCAAACUAACCAGAUAACACGUCAUAUCUGGUUUGUUUAAUCUGUACAAAAUCUGAAAGUGCAAAAACAACAACGGGGAAGUAUGAGUCAGACUAUUUCUUGGCCUAGAUCAGUAACUGACUUUUCAGUAACUUGUCGUCACCAUAGAGACAUGACAGUGGUAUCGAACUUCUCAUCUAACUGUAGGCAAGAUAGCAAAUAAGUGAUUUUCCAAAAUGUCUAUUCUUUAAACAAAACAAAACAAAACAACAAAAUUCUUUGAUUUUGACUAACUGGAAAUUAAUUUCACAAAUGCAGGAGAUGAUGUGAUAUGUUGGAUAUGAAAUUGAAUGAACAUCCUGCAGUUACCUUUCUGAACUUUGAGGUUACUGAAGCCCUGUAAAGUAAAGCGCUUUUUAGCCACAGCAGCUCUGUCUGAGGUAGGGCUUGUCACAGCCUCAUCUGAUCCAGACAAUAAGGCGGGACAGACAAAAAGAAGGAAGGAAGAAGGAAGGAAGGGUAAAUUAAUCAAGUGUAGAGGAAGAAAAGGAAUUAUGGGGUUAUAUGAUUCAGUGGAAAAGAUGGGUUAAUCACAAAAUACAAUAAGUGUACUGUAGUUUGUACAAUACAUGCACGAAAAAAUAUAAUGUUGGAGAAAUUGUACAUAAGUUAUUCCACUCGUUUACUAUAUUCUAUUACUGUUAUAAUAGUACAUACCAAAUGAAGAUACUAUUCUGUUGUUGCCUUUAUAAUAUGUGUUUGUGUGAGUUUGUUACAGGAACUGUGGCUCAAGGUGAGAGGAUGCAGACAGUUGCAGUUGUGCCCGGCGAAGAGGAAUUGGCUACAUAAGGCUGAGAAAGACAACUCUGCUGUCAAGCUUAGAUAGCAAGCAAGAA